AAAUUGAAGAGUUUGAUCAUGGCUCAGAUUGAACGCUGGCGGCAGGCCUAACACAUGCAAGUCGAACGGUAACAGGAAGCAGCUUGCUGCUUUGCUGACGAGUGGCGGACGGGUGAGUAAUGUCUGGGAAACUGCCUGAUGGAGGGGGAUAACUACUGGAAACGGUAGCUAAUACCGCAUAACGUCGCAAGACCAAAGAGGGGCCAUCGGAUGUGCCCAGAUGGGAUUAGCUAGUAGGUGGGGUAACGGCUCACCUAGGCGACGAUCCCUAGCUGGUCUGAGAGGAUGACCAGCCACACUGGAACUGAGACACGGUCCAGACUCCUACGGGAGGCAGCAGUGGGGAAUAUUGCACAAUGGGCGCAAGCCUGAUGCAGCCAUGCCGCGUGUAUGAAGAAGGCCUUCGGGUUGUAAAGUACUUUCAGCGGGGAGGAAGGGAGUAAAGUUAAUACCUUUGCUCAUUGACGUUACCCGCAGAAGAAGCACCGGCUAACUCCGUGCCAGCAGCCGCGGUAAUACGGAGGGUGCAAGCGUUAAUCGGAAUUACUGGGCGUAAAGCGCACGCAGGCGGUUUGUUAAGUCAGAUGUGAAAUCCCCGGGCUCAACCUGGGAACUGCAUCUGAUACUGGCAAGCUUGAGUCUCGUAGAGGGGGGUAGAAUUCCAGGUGUAGCGGUGAAAUGCGUAGAGAUCUGGAGGAAUACCGGUGGCGAAGGCGGCCCCCUGGACGAAGACUGACGCUCAGGUGCGAAAGCGUGGGGAGCAAACAGGAUUAGAUACCCUGGUAGUCCACGCCGUAAACGAUGUCGACUUGGAGGUUGUGCCCUUGAGGCGUGGCUUCCGGAGCUAACGCGUUAAGUCGACCGCCUGGGGAGUACGGCCGCAAGGUUAAAACUCAAAUGAAUUGACGGGGGCCCGCACAAGCGGUGGAGCAUGUGGUUUAAUUCGAUGCAACGCGAAGAACCUUACCUGGUCUUGACAUCCACGGAAGUUUUCAGAGAUGAGAAUGUGCCUUCGGGAACCGUGAGACAGGUGCUGCAUGGCUGUCGUCAGCUCGUGUUGUGAAAUGUUGGGUUAAGUCCCGCAACGAGCGCAACCCUUAUCCUUUGUUGCCAGCGGUCCGGCCGGGAACUCAAAGGAGACUGCCAGUGAUAAACUGGAGGAAGGUGGGGAUGACGUCAAGUCAUCAUGGCCCUUACGACCAGGGCUACACACGUGCUACAAUGGCGCAUACAAAGAGAAGCGACCUCGCGAGAGCAAGCGGACCUCAUAAAGUGCGUCGUAGUCCGGAUUGGAGUCUGCAACUCGACUCCAUGAAGUCGGAAUCGCUAGUAAUCGUGGAUCAGAAUGCCACGGUGAAUACGUUCCCGGGCCUUGUACACACCGCCCGUCACACCAUGGGAGUGGGUUGCAAAAGAAGUAGGUAGCUUAACCUUCGGGAGGGCGCUUACCACUUUGUGAUUCAUGACUGGGGUGAAGUCGUAACAAGGUAACCGUAGGGGAACCUGCGGUUGGAUCACCUCCUUACCUUAAAGAAGC
rnacentral:rRNA from 1 species